rnacentral:rRNA from 1 species
AAUCAACGCUGGCGGCGUGCCUCAGACAUGCAAGUCGAACGAUUAAGACUUCCUUCGGGAAGUGUAUAAAGUGGCGCACGGGUGAGUAACACGUAAGUAAUCUAGCCUCGAGUGGGGAAUAACGUUCGGAAACGAACGCUAAUACCGCAUAAUGCAGCGGCAUCGCAAGAUGACAGUUGUUAAAGGAGUAAUUCGCUUGAGGAGGAGCUUGCGGCAGAUUAGCUAGUUGGUAAGGUAACGGCUUACCAAGGCUACGAUCUGUAUCCGGUCUAAGAGGACGGUCGGACACACUGACACUGAAUGACGGGUCAGACUCCUACGGGAGGCAGCAGUCGGGAAUUUUGGGCAAUGGGCGAAAGCCUGACCCAGCAACGCCGCGUGAAGGAUGAAGUAUUUCGGUAUGUAAACUUCGAAAGAAUGGGAAGAAUAAAUGACGGUACCAUUUAUAAGCUCCGGCUAACUACGUGCCAGCAGCCGCAGUAAGAC